GACGAACGCUGGCGGCGUGCUUAACACAUGCAAGUCGAGCGGUAAGGCCUUUCGGGGUACACGAGCGGCGAACGGGUGAGUCACACGUGGGUGAUCUGCCCUGCACUCUGGGAUAAGCCUGGGAAACUGGGUCUAAUACUGGAUAUGACUUCAGCAUGCAUGUGCUGGGGUGGACAGCUUUUGUGGUGCAGGAUGGGCCCGCGGCCUAUCAGCUUGUUGGUGGGGUAAUGGCCUACCAAGGCGACGACGGGUAGCCGACCUGAGAGGGUGACCGGCCACACUGGGACUGAGACACGGCCCAGACUCCUACGGGAGGCAGCAGUGAGGAAUAUUGCACAAUGGGCGGAAGCCUGAUGCAGCGACGCCGCGUGAGGGAUGAAGGCCUUCGGGUUGUAAACCUCUUUCAGCAGGGACGAAGCGUGAGUGACGGUACCUGCAGAAGAAGCACCGGCUAACUACGUGCCAGCCGCCGCGGUAACAC
rnacentral:rRNA from 1 species